rnacentral:rRNA from 1 species
AACGAACGCUGGCGGCAGGCCUAACACAUGCAAGUCGAGCGCCCCGCAAGGGGAGCGGCAGACGGGUGAGUAACACGUGGGAACGUGCCCGAAGGUACGGAAUAUGCCCGGGAAACUGGGUGCAAUACCGUAUGUGACCGAGAGGUGAAAGAUUUAUCGCCUUCGGAUCGGCCCGCGUCUGAUUAGCUAGUUGGUGGGGUAAUGGCCUACCAAGGCGACGAUCAGUAGCUGGUCUGAGAGGAUGAUCAGCCACACUGGGACUGAGACACGGCCCAGACUCCUACGGGAGGCAGCAGUGGGGAAUCUUGGACAAUGGGCGCAAGCCUGAUCCAGCCAUGCCGCGUGGAUGAUGAAGGCCAUAGGGUUGUAAAAUCCUUUCGUCAGGGACGAUAAUGACGGUACCUGAAGAAGAAGCCCCGGCUAACUUCGUGCCAGCCGCCGCCGUAA